CCGUGCGAAGGUAGCAUAAUCACUUGUUCUCUAAAUGGGGACUUGUAUCAACGGCAUCACGAGGGUUACACUGUCUCCUUUCUCCAAUCAGUGAAACUGAUCUCCCCGUGAAGAAGCGGGGAUAAGAAUAUAAGACGAGAAGACCCCAUGGAGCUUUAAGCUCAACAACACCUCUACAAUAUACCUCCUCUUAAACUACGAGACCUGUCUGUUAGCUUUAGGUUGGGGUGACCGCGGAGUAUAAUAUAACCUCCACGACUGACGGGACUAACCCCUUAUCCAAGAGCCACUGCUCUAAGAAUCAUUAAUUUGAUGUAAAAUGAUCCGUUCUUCGAUCAACGAACCAAGUUACCCUGGGGAUAACAGCGCAAUCUACUUCAAGAGCUCCUAUCGACAAGUAGGUUUACGACCUCGAUGUUGGAUCAGGGUAUCCUAGUGGUGCAGCCGCUACUAAAGGUUCGUUUGUUCAACGAUUAAAACCCUACAUGAU
rnacentral:rRNA from 1 species